GUCUGUGCGACGCAUAUUCCUUGCACGAGUUGGAGAGAUUGAUUCCCAAUGUGCGUCGCAUAAUAUAAAAAUGCGUUGCAAAAGGCUAAUGUGCGUCGGACCCAUUGGCCCAUCCGACGCACAUCAGCCCACCAACUCAUUUAUAGAACGCGUCUAAUAUCCCACCAGUUCACCCUCUUAACCUAAAAUUCCCCCAUUCUCAAAAUAAAACCGCCGCUCUUCUUCCUUCCUCAAAAGCCUCAUCUUCUUUCUCUCUCCUCCACCCUACAAAACAAGUUUUCAUUUCUCAAAAAUUCGAACGAACGAAGCUAACGAACGAAGAAGAUGUUGCCUUAGUCAUCUUGAUCGUCUUCUUCAUCUUCAGUUGACGAACGACGAAGAUGUUGCUCCUGAUUGGACUAUGAACAUCGAAAUUUUUGAUUUUUGCAAAUCUAGUCACUGAUCUAGGAUUUUCGAAGCGCAAAUUUUCCGGUGAAGCCAUGAAACGUCGACGGAAUCCCUCAUUUCAAGAUCUGAGUAGUAUUUUUAAUUCUGUAAUUUUCUCUUUUAUGAUUUUUAUGUAAUUUUCUCAUUUUAAUUUUAUGUAAUUUUCUCUUUUUAGUUUCUGUAAUUUAUGUAUUUUUUUUUGUAAUUAGUGUUUGUGAAAAACGCCCCUUCUACCUCAGUUAAACACUACUUCUACUUUUUUU